UUCCGGUUGAUCCCGCCGGACCUGACUGCUAUCGGAUUGAUACUAAGCCAUGCGAGUCUUUGCAGUAAUGCAAGGCAUACGGCUCAGUAACACGUAGUCAACUUACCCUAUGGACGAGGAUAAUCUCGGGAAACUGAGCAUAAUACUCGAUAGAUCAUAAUGCCUGGAAUGGUUUAUGGUUAAAAUGAUUCGUCGCCAUAGGAUGGGACUGCGGCCUAUCAGCUUGUUGGUGAGGUAAUGGCCCACCAAGGCGAUUACAGGUACGGGCUCUGAGAGGAGAAGCCCGGAGAUGGGUACUGAGACAAGGACCCAGGCCCUAUGGGGCGCAGCAGGCGAGAAAACUUUGCAAUGUGCGAAAGCACGACAAGGUUAAUCCGAGUGAUUUCUGCUAAAGAAAUCUUUUGCAAGUCAUAACACCACUAGUGAAUAAGGGGUGGGCAAGUUCUGGUGUCAGCCGCCGCGGUAAAACCAGCACCUCAAGUGGUCAGGAGGAUUAUUGGGCCUAAAGCAUCCGUAGCCGGCUCUGUAAGUUUUCGGUUAAAUCUAUGUGCUCAACGCAUAGGCUGCCGAAAAUACUGCAUAGCUAGGGAGUGGGAGAGGUAGACGGUACUCGGUAGGAAGGGGUAAAAUCCUUUGAUCUAUCGAUGACCACCUGUGGCGAAGGCGGUCUACCAGAACACGUUCGACGGUGAGGGAUGAAAGCUGGGGGAGCAAACCGGAUUAGAUACCCGGGUAGUCCCAGCUGUAAACGAUGCAGACUCGAUGAUGCAUUGGCAUAUAGCCAGUGCAGUGUCGCAGGGAAGCCGUUAAGUCUGCCGCCUGGGAAGUACGUACGCAAGUAUGAAACUUAAAGGAAUUGGCGGGGGAGCACCACAAGGGGUGAAGCCUGCGGUUCAAUUGGAUUCAACGCCGGG
rnacentral:rRNA from 1 species